CUGUACUAUUAAUAGCGUCAAGUCAUUGGUUCUAUUAGAUUUUUGGCUUUUGGAUUAAAGAAUUUACAACUAUGAUGAUAGUGAUAUUUUAGGAUUGAAUGGAUGGUUGGUUGAAUAGUAUGAUCUAACAUGUGAAAAUGAUCAAAGGGAUAGAUCUAACGGUGAAAAACUUGAUAGAACCAAGUGCUUGAUGCUAAUGAUAAUGUUGAGACAUUUUGAUCAAUAGUGGGUCUAUUUAUUUUACCGAAAGUGAAGUUUAAGUUGACGUAGAUUUUCAGAUAAACUAAAGUUCAUGAAAAAAUUACUUUCCUUUUAUUGCUUGUUUGCUUGGAACUAAGUUCUCGCAAUCUUUUUGUUUGUCAAAUACAAAAUGAAUGAGGAAAAGAAGAGAGGCAUGAGUGGUACGUGAAUUAAUAUUUUAUUUUUUUUCCUCACUUUUUUUCUCUAUAUGUAAGGACUGAGAUUUUUGACAGUGCAACUAAACUCUCUGUUGAUGAUGUUUAUGUGUGUAAUUUAAUUACAUAAGCACUCGUCAAGUUUCAGG
rnacentral:lncRNA from 1 species